rnacentral:rRNA from 1 species
AACCUCCGCAAUGUGAGAAAUCGCGACGGGGGGAUCCCAAGUGCCAUUCUUAACGGGAUGGCUUUUCAUUAGUGUAAAGAGCUUUUGGAAUAAGGGCUGGGCAAGACCGGUGCCAGCCGCCGCGGUAACACCGGCAGCUCUAGUGGUAGCUGUUUUUAUUGGGCCUAAAGCGUUCGUAGCCGGUUUGAUAAGUCACUGGUGAAAUCCUGUAGCUUAACUGUGGGAAUUGCUGGUGAUACUGUUGAACUUGAGGUCGGGAGAGGUUAGCGGUACUCCCAGGGUAGAGGUGAAAUUCUGUAAUCCUGGGAGGACCACCUGUGGCGAAGGCGGCUAACUGGAACGAACCUGACGGUGAGGGACGAAAGCUAGGGGCGCGAACCGGAUUAGAUACCCGGGUAGUCCUAGCCGUAAACGAUGCGGACUUGGUGUUGGGAUGGCUUUGAGCCGCUCCGGUGCCGAAGGGAGCUGUAGUCCGCCGCCUGGGAAGUACGGUCGCAAGACUGAAACUUAAAGGAAUU